rnacentral:autocatalytically_spliced_intron from 1 species
AAAAUUAGUUGACUAUAUUCUGGCGAUUCAAAAAGAAAAUUAUGUCUCGCGAAGAAAGAAAAGCAAAAAAGAGCUAAUGAAAAUUUUAGGAUUGACCCCGUAACGACUUUGGUCCGACGUCACGUCGGACCAGAAUAGCGAGUUAAUAAAAAAUCUAAACCGCUAUAAUAUGUCGGCCCCGCCCAAAUUUCUUCGAAAAUUGCGGCGGGUGAAGAUAUAGUCUGGGCCCGCAGAAAUGCGGGA